GGAGGACGACUUUCCCAUACGAUCUCUAAGACGAGUCAAGUAACUCCCGGAUACGUAGUGAUUGCCCCAUGCAUUAACAUUGAGUACAACUUAGACGCUGAAGGAAAGUAGAGUUCGUCAUCCCAUUGACCGCGGAUUCGUUAAACGAGCAUCCUUACCUCACUCUACGAUGGAACUCCUUUUUCGAGCAAGGGGACCAAUAAAAAUGAUGGAACGUGGCAGCGACCAUCGGUGCCAUCACGCUUCCUCGAGAUCCCUCUUCCUUGCACGCGUUUCCGGUCGUUUCAUCUCCGUCGUGAGUCAGACCUAGACUACGGGAAACACGUUUGUGUCGUUGUCGAAGCGGACGAAGAAAUAAUCUUGUUGGCGUUUGUAGGAGAUUACGCAAGAGCGCGGCUCUCUUGGUAGUUUUGUGCAAAAAAAACCGUCACAAAGCAUUCGUUGUCCUCGUUAUCUCGUUGUCAAGCACUUUCGAUCGCUUCUUUCUUUUUCGCACGAUCAACCUUGUACGUUUCUUACGUGGAACAACGCGAUUUACAUCGACCAACGCGCAAAGAAACGCGAUUCUGUUCGGAAGAAACGUUGUUCACCUUCGUACGUUCUCUGCGUGUUCAUUGGCAAAAGAAAGAAGAAAAACUAGUAACAUGGAAACCUCCUCGCUCUGGAAAAGUCUUUUCAUACGGACGGACGAGUUGCGAGCCACGGUUUCCUUUGCAAAGUCAUUUCCUUUGCAAACACUCGCGACGAGUACCGUACAAUGCGAUAAAAAGAAAUUUGACGUUGAGAAACAGGGUCAUGCGUCA
rnacentral:misc_RNA from 1 species